rnacentral:tRNA from 1 species
AGAGAUAGCUCGGUGGUAGAGUGUAUGCUUAGCAUGCACAAGGUCCUGGGUCCAAUCCCCAGUACCUCUA